rnacentral:rRNA from 1 species
CCUACGGGAGGCAGCAGUGAGGAAUAUUGAUCAAUGGGCGAAAGCCUGACCCAGCAACGCCGCGUGCAGGAAGCAGGCUUUCGGGUUGUAAACUUCUUUUGACAGGGAAGAGCAGAAGACGGUACCUGUCGAAUAAGCCACGGCUAACUACGUGCCAGCCGCCGCGGUAAUACGUAGGGGGCAAGCGUUAUCCGGAUUUACUGGGUGUAAAGGGAGCGUAGACGGUAGUGCAAGUCUGGUGUGAAAGGCGGGGGGUCAACCCCCGGACUGCUCUGGAAACUGUACGGCUGGAGUGCAGGAGAGGUAAGGGGAAUGCGUAGUGUAGCGGUGAAAUGCGUAGAUAUUAGGAGGAACACCAGGGGCGAAGGCGGCUUACUGGACUGUAACUGACGUUGAGGCUCGAAAGCGUGGGGAGCAAACAGGAUUAGAUACCCCAGUAGUC